GUCUCUAAGUGUAUGUGUGUGUGUGUCUGUAAGUGUAUGUGUGUGUGUGUCUGUAAGUGUAUGUGUGUGUGUCUGUAAGUGUAUGUGUGUGUGUGUGUGUGUGUGUGUGUGUGUCUGUAAGUAUAUGUGUCUGUGUCUGUAAGUGUAUGUGUCUGUGUCUGUAAGUGUAUGUGUGUCUGUGGGUCUGUCUGUGUAUGUGUGAGUGUCUGUAAGUGCAUGUGUGAGUAUGUGUAUAUUUGUGUGUAUGUGUUUCUAUGUGAGUGUGUGUGUGUGUGUGUGUAUGUGUUUGUCUGUGAGCAGAGUACUUGUAGAAUAGAAGAAAGAAGGUGCAGAGUACUUGUAGAAUAGAAGAAAGAAGGUGCAGAGUACUUGUAGAAUAGGAGAAAGAAGGAGUAGAGUACUUCUAGUAUAGGGGAAAGAAGGAGUAGAGUACUUCUAGUAUAGGGGAAAGAAGGAGUAGAGUACUUCUAGUAUAGGGGAAAGAAGGAGUAGAGUACUUCUAGUAUAGAGGAAAGAAGGAGUAGAGUACUUGUAAAAAAGGAGAAGGAAAGAAAAGGAAAAGGAG